UCCUGCAGCCAUGGCACCUUCAUUUGUGAUCUGGUCAGCGCGCACAGUCUAAGUAGGUUUGGGUCUAUUCAAUACUUGAAUGGGGGACGCCUUAAGAAAAAUAAAGUUCUGUAGUAA
rnacentral:rRNA from 1 species